AACGAACGCUGGCGGCAUGCCUAACACAUGCAAGUCGAACGAGACCUUCGGGUCUAGUGGCGCACGGGUGCGUAACGCGUGGGAACCUGCCCUUAGGUUCGGAAUAACUCCCCGAAAGGGGUGCUAAUACCGGAUAAUGUCUUCGGACCAAAGAUUUAUCGCCUUUGGAUGGGCCCGCGUUGGAUUAGCUAGUUGGUAGGGUAAAAGCCUACCAAGGCGACGAUCCAUAGCUGGUCUGAGAGGAUGAUCAGCCACACUGGGACUGAGACACGGCCCAGACUCCUACGGGAGGCAGCAGUGGGGAAUGAUGGACAAUGGGCGGAAGCCUGAGACAGCAAUGCCGCGUGAAUGAUGAAGGCCUUAGGGUUGUAAAGCUCUUUUACCCGAGAUGAUAAUGACAGUACCGGGAGAAUAAGCUCCGGCUAACUCCGUG
rnacentral:rRNA from 1 species